AGUGAACGCUGGCGGUAGGCCCAACACAUGCAAGUCGAACGGCAGCACAGUAAGAGCUUGCUCUUACGGGUGGCGAGUGGCGGACGGGUGAGGAAUACAUCGGAAUCUACUUUUUCGUGGGGGAUAACGUAGGGAAACUUACGCUAAUACCGCAUACGACCUACGGGUGAAAGCAGGGGAUCUUCGGACCUUGCGCGAUUGAAUGAGCCGAAGUCGGAUUAGCUAGUUGGCGGGGUAAAGGCCCACCAAGGCGACGAUCCGUAGCUGGUCUGAGAGGAUGAUCAGCCACACUGGAACUGAGACACGGUCCAGACUCCUACGGGAGGCAGCAGUGGGGAAUAUUGGACAAUGGGCGCAAGCCUGAUCCAGCCAUACCGCGUGGGUGAAGAAGGCCUUCGGGUUGUAAAGCCCUUUUGUUGGGAAAGAAAAGCAGCAGGUUAAUACCCCGCUGUUCUGACGGUACCCAAAGAAUAAGCACCGGCUAACUUCGUG
rnacentral:rRNA from 1 species